GACGAACGCUGGCGGCGUGCCUAAUACAUGCAAGUCGAGCGGAGUUAUGAUGGAGCUUGCUCCGGAUUAGCUUAGCGGCGGACGGGUGAGUAACACGUAGGCAACCUACCUCUUUGACUGGGAUAACUACCGGAAACGGUAGCUAAUACCGGAUAAUUCCUUUGUUCACAUGGACGAAGGAUGAAAGGCGGAGCAAUCUGCUACAAGGAGAUGGGCCUGCGGCGCAUUAGCUAGUUGGUGGGGUAACGGCUCACCAAGGCGACGAUGCGUAGCCGACCUGAGAGGGUGAACGGCCACACUGGGACUGAGACACGGCCCAG
rnacentral:rRNA from 1 species